rfam:Phycomyces blakesleeanus NRRL 1555(-) unplaced genomic scaffold PHYBLscaffold_33, whole genome shotgun sequence.
GCCCCCGUGGCGUAAUUGGAUAACGCUUCAGACUUCUAAUCUGAGGAUUGCGGGUUCGACCCCCGUCGGGGGUG